rnacentral:ncRNA from 2 species
CUCUUAUCAAGAGAGGUGGAGGGAUGUGCCCAAUGAAGCCCGGCAACCGUCAGCGCUUGCGCUGAAAUGGUGCCAAUUCACACAAAGCAGCCUGCUUUGAGAGAUAAGAG